UGAGGCCUACGGGGCGCAGCAGUGGGGAAUAUUGCACAAUGGGGGGAACCCUGAUGCAGCGACGCCGCGUGGGUGAAGGAGUACUUCGGUACGUAAAGCCCUAUCAGCAGGAAAGAAAAUGACGGUACCUGACUAAGAAGCCCCGGCUAACUACGUGCCAGCAGCCGCGGUAAUACGUAGGGGGCAAGCGUUAUCCGGAUUUACUGGGUGUAAAGGGAGCGUAGACGGUAUGGCAAGUCUGAAGUGAAAGCCCAGGGCUUAACCCUGGGACUGCUUUGGAAACUGUUAGACUAGAGUGCUGGAGG
rnacentral:rRNA from 1 species